CAAAACAACAACAAAUUUUGAGUGAUGCCGGUUUGCUUACGCACCGGUUGAAAGGACAUUUCGGCUAUCUGAGACGCUGCCUGAGAUAGCCGAACGCCAUUCGUGUUUGCAUCGGAAAUAGCACAAGACUACAUAGUAACAUGGCUAACUUACAAAACUGAGGAAAGCUGCGUGCGACAGAAACGAAACUAAGGAAAAUGGAAACGGAAACCGAAACAAAAAUCGAAAUGGAAAUCAUAAGAGAAUGAGGCACUGCUAAGUAAAAAAGGAAAAACUAUAGAUGUUUAGAAAGUGUUCGAGUAUAAUGACAGUUUCGUAUAAUCCAGUUUUGAACACGCCAAUCAUGGCCGGAUCAAUGUAUGUCUCGGGUCCUCGCUUAUCCUGGCGCCCUGCAAGCAAAACACUUUCCAUUACUUCUCCGUUAAGCAAACAUUAACUGCGUGUGUGUGUGUGUGUUUGGGUGUCCACACCGACCUUUGCACUCGACGGAGCCAUCCUUGCCCCAGAUGGGCGACAUCUCGAACCGACAAAUGCAACGUCCGUCUCGGCAUUCCGUCUGAAAGUAAACCGCUUCACAUUGCUCGUUGAAGAAACAGGAUUCGUUAACAGCAGACGCUAAAGACGGGAAAGAUAGGAGAUAAGAGGGGAAAAAUACUAUAACACGUGGACAAGUUUUACUUGUUUUACGAGUGUCCGAAAUGGGGUCGACCCAAUGGCAAUGGCAGACAGACAAAUAUUUUUAUUGGUCAAACUAUAGGCGCACAAUGAGGUCAACGAAUGACACCCACACACUACAUAAAUAAUUGUAUUUUUAAUAUUAUGGCAUGUGUGUAAAUGUCGGAUGAAUUUUAC